rfam:Perkinsus marinus ATCC 50983 gcontig_1104296558268, whole genome shotgun sequence.
GGCCCUGUGGCGCAACGGUAGCGCAUCUGACUCCAGAUCUGAAGGUUGUCCGUUCGAAUCGGGCCGGGGUCA